CAGUCGCCGCGGUAAUACGGAGGGAGCUAGCGUUGUUCGGAAUUACUGGGCGUAAAGCGCGCGUAGGCGGUUACUCAAGUCAGAGGUGAAAGCCCGGGGCUCAACCCCGGAACUGCCUUUGAAACUAGGUGACUAGAAUCUUGGAGAGGUCAGUGGAAUUCCGAGUGUAGAGGUGAAAUUCGUAGAUAUUCGGAAGAACACCAGUGGCGAAGGCGACUGACUGGACAAGUAUUGACGCUGAGGUGCGAAAGCGUGGGGAGCAAACAGGAUUAGAUACCCCUGUAGUACCUGUCUCUUAUAC
rnacentral:rRNA from 1 species